GGACGAGUGGUGCAGCCACAAAACUAUAUUCUGAGAAGAAGGAAAAGUGGUUGUUUUCCAAUUUCUGAGAAGAAGAAAGACUGGUGCAGCCAUACCGUUCGAUUGCUGCAGGUUAUUUAUUCGCCCACAACCGUUCGGAAAAAGACGACGCGAGAUCUCGUCCUCGGGCUACAAAUCCUACCCAAGACCAAACUUUCUCCGUCUCUCCUCUUACAAUUUGAGUAUAUUGUUGCUAUCUGUUCUUUUUUGGCAUAUGUCCUCCCCUGAAGCGUGUCAUUUGGAUUCCAUGGAAGGAGAAGGAAUGUUGUGGGAGAUGGAUUGUACAUCUCUUUGAGUCUGUUUCUCUAAGUUUUUACGGGUUCAAGUUUGUGUGGCAAUGUAUUGCAAGAAUGGAAGACAACUAUAAUUUGGAUUGGAUUUCUUUAGUUUCUUUUUCUGGUGCCUAGAUUGAAAUAGCUAUUUGUUUAGUUUGGGUUUGCUGUAUCACGACAUGU